rnacentral:rRNA from 1 species
ACCGGCGGCACGAGUGGUGGAAAAUAUUACAGGGCUUAAAGCAUUCGAAGCUGGCUUGUUAAGUCUAUGGGGAAAUCUUCCGGCUCAACCGGAAGGCGUCUCAGGGAUACUGGCAGGCUAGGGACCGGAAGAGGUGAGAGGUACUCCAGGGGUAGGAGUGAAAUCCUGUAAUCCUUGGGGGACCACCUGUGGCGAAGGCGUCUCACCAGGACGGCUCCGACAGUGAGGAACGAAAGCUGGGGGAGCAAACCG